rnacentral:rRNA from 1 species
AAGACUGUGAAACCAUCACGAGGUUAAAGCGAAUUAGACAAGUGGCUUUGUCAAGCGGAGUGCAGUGUCGAAUUUUUUCGGUCACGGUGCCUGUCUCACCCGAGCUGUGUUUUGUAGUCGCCUUGGUAUGACGUUAUUAAGUCUCUAGAGAGAACCUUUUCGGAAAUUAUAGCGCGAUACGGCGGGGUUCAGGCUCGUCCGAAGUCAACGUCUCACGCGUUCAGCAGCGGUAUUACCAGCGGGCUCGCUCGUUUGGUCUUGUUGUUGCUGUACCGUGGGAGGUUCGGGCAGCCUCCUGCUAAAGCGUUUCCGGAGUUUGGGGUCUGUGCCUCGGUUUUGACUAUCACUGCUGUUGGGUUUUGAGCUCGCACCAGCGCUUCCUAUUGGACGAGCGCAGCGGCCGUUUCUGCGGUGUCGUCGACACUUGCGAGUGCGGUCGGGAACUGGUACGUCUUGCUUCACGUUCACGUGAGGCAUUUAUAAGGCGCUAUCAGGGACGACUGUACGAUUAGUGUCGCGGCGGACGCUUGAAAACGGUAUCUUAGAGGCUGUUUAUCGGAGACGCGUGUUUUAGUGCGCGAAAAAGCUCCGACGAACGUAAUAAUAGUGCCUUCGCUGCGUUUGGCAUUGAAAUGCCGGCUACACGUUUAUCCGCCCGGCCUGAAAAAAGGAACAAAGAGGCCAACAAGGGGGGGGGUCAAAGGGAAAUUAAACACCCCACGGCGCAAGGAAAGUGAUACGCUUUACGCGGGC